rnacentral:rRNA from 1 species
AUUGAACGCUGGCGGCAUGCUUUACACAUGCAAGUCGAACGGCAGCACGGGUGCUUGCACCUGGUGGCGAGUGGCGGACGGGUGAGUAAUGCAUCGGAACGUGUCCCUGAAGUGGGGGAUAACGCAUCGAAAGAUGUGCUAAUACCGCAUAUUCUCUGAGGAAGGAAAGUAGGGGAUCGAAAAGGCCUUAUGCUUUUGGAGCGGCCGAUGUCUGAUUAGCUAGUUGGUAGGGUAAUGGCUUACCAAGGCGACGAUCAGUAGUUGGUCUGAGAGGACGACCAGCCACACUGGGACUGAGACACGGCCCAGACUCCUACGGGAGGCAGCAGUGGGAAUUUUGGACAAUGGGUGCAAGCCUGAUCCAGCAAUGCCGCGUGAGUGAAGAAGGCC